UACGAAGGGGGCUAGCGUUGUUCGGAAUUAUUGGGCGUAAAGGGCGCGUAGGCGGUGUGGUAAGUCUGUUGUGAAACCUCCAGGCUCAACUUGGAGCUUGCAUCAGAAACUGCCGUGCUAGAGUGUGGGAGAGGAGAGUGGAAUUCCUGGUGUAGCGGUGAAAUGCGUAGAUAUCAGGAGGAACACCGGUGGCGAAAGCGGCUCUCUGGGACGGUACUGACGCUGAGACGCGAAAGCGUGGGGAGCGAACAGG
rnacentral:rRNA from 1 species